CAGGAGGGGAAGGCUGGACAGGAAAAACCAUUCCCUUUUAUAAAAAGCAUGCAGGUUUUACAGCAAGUACCCUUCGCAUAGCAACCACCACUUAGCAGCCUCCACCUAGCUGAAAACAAUGGGCCUCAGUUCCUUGGACCACCUGCAUUCCAAGGCACACGCCAGGAUCCAGGUGUCCUUCACAGGUAUGGCAUAAACAUCAGGGUUGGCCAUUACUGGAACACUAAACAAACAUUCAUCAAGGAACACAGGAUCAUUCUCAAGCGUUCUAGAACACAACUACUAACUAGCUCGGCCUGGUACCACGGAUUUGUGCUACGGCACCAGGAGAGCAAAAUCAACACAGAAAAAAGCAAGAAAACUCAGAGAAAAAAUAAAACAAAUCUACAAUGAACACAUCAGUAUGUAUAUUUCUACAAACUUGUGUGAGAAGUUCUGUAAGAUCAAGUCCUAAAAGCAGAAUUGCUGGCUCAAAGGCAAAAAAAAAAAAAAAAAAGUAAAUUUAUUGAUGUGCCUACCAACGUGUUCUGAGGCUAUGAGGAAGCCAUAAAAGUCCUACCCUGAAUUACAGUCCAUCCUGGAUUCCAGGCAAGAAUAUAUACCUUCAGAUUUGUAUUUCUCUCGGAAGUAUUAAGAUUUCAAAAACUGGGCAGAAUGAAUCACAGACAAAUGCUUUCAGAAACUUAGAUGGGGACAUAUAUAAUGUAAGAUGGACUUAACUUACAUGUAGAAUAAAAUGGACUUACAUGUAAAAGCAUUUAGAGUGUCUGGUAUUAUGUGUUAGCUCCUACUAUUAUUGUUAAAUCAUUAUUGUAACUUAUUACUAAGUCAUAAGUUACUAAGUAAAAAGUUACAAUAAUAAUUUUUAAAAUUUUUUCCAGUCCUAUGUGAUCUGAAAAAAUAUAUAUAUACCCAAAUACCGUUUACUUAAACAUGGGAAGGUAGAGGACAAGGAAAGAAGAAAAGCUAAGUAAAAUGUAUUUCCUUGUUCUAAUAGGAGAAGAAGUCACGGAAAAAUGUAAGGUUAAACACGUCAGUUUACAAUUAGGAAUAUCUGCUUUACUUCCUUUAUUGGAGUAACUAAA
rnacentral:lncRNA from 1 species